UACAGAGGUCUCGAGCGUUGUUCGGAUUCAUUGGGCGUAAAGGGUGCGUAGGUGGCGUGGUAAGUCUGGUGUGAAAUCCCGGGGCUCAACCCCGGAACUGCACUGGAUACUGCCAUGCUUGAGUACUGGAGAGGAGAUUGGAAUUUACGGUGUAGCAGUGAAAUGCGUAGAUAUCGUAAGGAAGACCAGUGGCGAAGGCGAAUCUCUGGACAGUUACUGACACUGAGGCAGCGAAAGGCCAGGGGAGCAAACGGG
rnacentral:rRNA from 1 species